CAGUCGCCGCGGUAACACGAAGGGUGCAAGCGUUACUCGGAAUUACUGGGCGUAAAGCGUGCGUAGGUGGUGGUUUAAGUCCGUUGUGAAAGCCCUGGGCUCAACCUGGGAAUUGCAGUGGAUACUGGGUCACUAGAGUGUGGUAGAGGAUAGUGGAAUUUCCGGUGUAGCAGUGAAAUGCGUAGAGAUCGGAAGGAACAUCUGUGGCGAAGGCGACUAUCUGGGCCAACACUGACACUGAGGCACGAAAGCGUGGGGAGCAAACAGGAUUAGAUACCCCCGUAGUCCCUGUCUCUUAUAA
rnacentral:rRNA from 1 species